UCUUGACUAUAAACUACCCUAUUACCUGGGAACUACGAAUAAAUAAAAUUUAAAACCCAAAGAACUUGGCGGUGUUCUAGACUACUUAGGGGAACCUGUUCCAUAAUCGACAAUCCACGCUACACCUAACCUUUUUUAGCAACCAGUCUGUAUACCGUUGUCGCCAGGCGACUUCUAAAAAUAAAGAAGUUGGCAAUAAAAAUUAAAUUAAACGUCAAAUCAAGGUACAGCCAAUAAAAAGGCGAGAAUGGGUUACAAUUAAAAUUUAUAAUAUGAAUUAAAAUCAGAAAUAACUUUAUGAAGGAGGACUUAAAAGUAAAAAGAUAAUUAUAAAAAUCUCUUGAAUACAGCCCUGGAACGUGC
rnacentral:rRNA from 1 species